ensembl:lncRNA
CUAGAACCCAUUAGAAGACUGUCUUCGUGAAGAUGGACGAGGCUAGAACCCAUUAGAAGACUGUCUUCGUGAAGAUGGACGAGGCUAGAACCCAUUAGAAGACUGUCUUCAUGGACGAGGCCAGAACCCAUUAGAAGACAGUCUUCGUGAAGAUGGACGAGGCUAGAACCCAUUAGAAGACUGUCUUCGUGAAGAUGGACGAGGCUAGAACCCAUUAGAAGACUGUCUUCGUGAAGAUGGACGAGGCUAGAACCCAUUAGAAGACUGUCUUCAUGAAGAUGGACGAGGCUAGAACCCAUUAGAAGACUGUCUUCAUGAAGAUGGACGAGGCUAGAACCCAUUAGAAGACUGUCUUCAUGAAGAUGGACGAGGCCAGAACCCAUUAGAAGACUGUCUUCGUGAAGAAGAUGAAGAUUAGAAGACUGUCUUCAUGGACGAGGCUAGAACCCAUUAGAAGACUGUCUUCAUGAAGAUGGACGAGGCUAGAACCCAUUAGAAGACUGUCUUCAUGAAGAUGGACGAGGCCAGAACCCAUUAGAAGACUGUCUUCAUGAAGAUGGACGAGGCCAGAACCCAUUAGAAGACUGUCUUCGUGAAGAUGGACGAGGCUAGAACCCAUUAGAAGACUGUCUUCGUGAAGAUGGACGAGGCCAGAACCCAUUAGAAGACUGUCUUCGUGAAGAUGGACGAGGCUAGAACCCAUUAGAAGACUGUCUUCAUGAAGAUGGACGAGGCCAGUAGCCCUGAAGGGACAAUAGAGAGGAACAAUCUGCUGCUGUUCACUCCAAUAGGAAAACAACAGUAGUUAAGAGGAGAAUUGUAAUCAGAUACGUUGUUCAUGUUUUUUACCUAAUAAUGAUGUCACUGGUUCAUUCUGAACUAUUAUAGGGCUGCUUUCUCAGACGACCCCUUGGUCCUGGACUAAACAUCACUUUCAAUGGAGAAUGUCCAUUCACCACUGCUCUCUAGCCCAGAACUAGGUUUAGGCCGAAUGAGGAAACCGGCCCGUUUUAUAAAGAUAUAUAUAUAUAAACCUGUUACGAAAGUUUUAAGCCUUGAUGGGACUCAGCAACUACAGUAGAGGGGUAAAAAAUGGUUCUCUACGCAAUUCAUUACAGUGCCUUUAUGUCAAUCUUUUUAAAUGUAUUGCCACAUUUUACAGAGGUCUUACAGUAAGUAAUCGUGUCUAGCUACACUAUAUAUACAAAAGUAUGUGGACACCCCUUCAAAUGAGUGGAUUCGUCUAUUUCAGACAUCUGUUGCCGACAGGUGUAUAAAAUUGAGCAUGCCUCCAUGCAAUCUCCAUAGACAAACACUGGUAGUAGAAUUGCCUUAGUGAAGAGCUCAUUGACGUUCAACGUGGCACCAUCGUAGGAUGCCACCUUUCCAACAAGUCAGUUUGUCAAAUUUCUGCCCUGCUAGAGCUGCCCCCCGGUCAACUGUAAGUUCUGUUAUUACAGAGCGGCUCAGCCGCUAAGUGGUAGGCCACAUAAGCUCACAGAACGGGACCACCCGAGUGCUGAAGCGCUUGGCACGUAACAAUCGUCUGACCUCGGUUGCAACACUCACUACCGAGUUUCAAACUGCCUCUGGAAGCAACGUCAGCACAAGAACUGUUCGUUGGGAGCUUCAUGAAAUGGGUUUCCAUGGCCGAGCAGCCGCACACAAGCCUAAGAUCACCAUGCGCAAAGCCAAGCGUCGGCUGGAGUGGUGUAAAGCUCACCACCAUUGGAUUCUGGAGUAGUGGAAACGCUUCACCAUCUGGCAGUCUGACGGAUGAAUCUGGGUUUGGCGAAUGCCAGGAGAACGCUACCUGCCUGAAUGCAUAGUGCCAACUGUAAAGUUUGGUGGAGGAAGAAUAAUGGUCUGGGGCUGUUUUCCAUGGUUCGGGUCCCUUAGUUCCAGUGAAGGGAAAUCUUAAUGCUACAGCAGACAAUGACAUUCAAGAUGAUUCUCUGCUUCCAACUUUGAGACAAAUGUUUUGGGGAAGGCCCUUUCCUGUUUCAGCAUGACAAUGCCCCCGUUCACAAAGCGAGGUCCAUACGGAAAUGGUUUGUCGAGAUCAGUGUAGAAGAACUUGACUGGCCUGCACAGAGCCCUGACCUCAACCCCAUCGAACACCUUUGGGAUGAAUUGGAACGCAGACUGCGAGCCAGGAGGCCUAAUCGCCCAACAUCAAUGCACUGACCUCACUAAUGCUCUUGUGACUGAAUGGAAGAAAGUCCCCUCAGCAAUGUUCCAACAUCUAGUGGAAAGCCUUCCCAGAAGAGAGGAGUCUGUUAUAGCAGCAAUGUUCCAACCUCUAGUGGAAAGCCUUCCCAGAAGAGUGGAGGCUGUUAUAGCAGCAAUGUUCCAACAUCUAGUGGAAAGCCUUCCUAGAAGAGAGGAGGCUGUUAUAGCAGCAAUGUUCCAACAUCUAGUGGAAAGCCUUCCCAGAAGAGAGGAGGCUGUUAUAGCAGCAAUGUUCCAACAUCUAGUGGAAAGCCUUCCUAGAAGAGAGGAGGCUGUUAUAGCAGCAAUGUUCCAACCUCUAGUGGAAAGCCUUCCUAGAAGAGAGGAGGCUGUUAUAGCAGCAAUGUUCCAACAUCUAGUGGAAAGCCUUCCUAGAAGAGUGGAGGCUGUUAUAGCAGCAAUGUUCCUACAUCUAGUGAAAGCCUUCCCAGAAGAGAGGAGGCUGUUAUAGCAGCAAAGGGGAGGACCAACUCCAUAUGUAAUACCCAUGUUUUUUGCAAUGAGAUGUUGGACGGGCAGGUGUCCACAUACUUUUGGUCAUGUAGUGUACAAACUACAAACACACGUUAUAGAAAUUCCACUCACAACACUAACACGUGUCCAAACCUGAUACUUUUUUUAAAAAUAAAUUUUUAUAAUUGUAGCCUCUCUUUAGUGUGGUAUCAAGUUCUUUCCCCAGAGUGUUUUAUUUUAUAUAAUGUUUUAUAAAUUACAUCUCUGAUUUUGACCUGAUGAUAUUGAAUACUGUUUUACUGGUUUGUUAGUUAUUUCGUUGCGGAUGGGCUUUGGUGGGUUGUUCUUGGAUUAUCUGUGGGUUCGAUAACUGAUCUACAAGUUGAUAACGAGUGUUUGACUUUUAGGGGAAAAGUAUUUAUAAAAUGUAUCCUGGAGCAGAAAACACAAUGCAGGACAGUGGGGGGAAAACAGACGUAUUUAAUUAAAUUGAAAGUUUCUAAUUACGAUUUGAAAAUGGAUAUCGAGAUAUACUGAAUAACUAAUUUUGAAAGAAAAAAUAGUUGUAUUGAUUUGUUGCCUAUAUAAAGUAUUAAUGAAUUAUAAAUGAUAUUGAUAUUUCAAUGUUUCACAUUUUGGAAUUGAUCUUUAGCCAAACCUAGUGUGAUUUGUAUUGGAAGGAAUUGAUCUUUAGCCAAACCUAGUGUGAUUUGUAUUGGAAGGAAUUGAUCUUUAG